AAAGCACACGCAUGACCUUCAAUUCGAUCGCAUCUUCAAUUUCAGAGAGCUCACCUUCGCCAUUCUCCUCAAAAGCACAAACCCUUCACCAUUGACACUCAUCACCUUCAUCAUUCUCACCAUCGCCAUUGACCAUCGCCCCCCACUCACCACUCACCACUCACCACUCACCGCCAGUCGCCAUUCACCACUCACCACAUCGCUGCACUAACCAUCUCCUCUUUGCGCAUAAACCCUUCACCAUUGGCACUCAUAACCUUUUCCCUUCUCACCGUCGCCAUUGACCGUCGCCCCCACUCACGACUCACCACAUCGCUGCACUGAUCGUUGCUCCUCUUCGCCGUCCUUCACUGAUCGUCGCUGUGCUGCCCUCACCGUCGUCAUCUCUGCACUUCUCAUCGUCCUCUCUGUGCUCACAUCGUCGGAUAGGGUUUGUGCGAAUGAUAUAUUGCUUCAGAAGGACUCAAACAUAGAGUUUUUGAGGUCUCACUUGCUGAUCUUCAAGGGGAUCAGGACCACACCUUCAAGAAGAUUAGAUUGAGAGCAGAAGAUGUACAAGGAAGGAUGUGCUCACAAAUUUCUGGGGCAAGGAUUUUACUACUGACAAACUGAGGUCACUUGUUAAGAAACGGUAAACUUUGAUUGAAGCUCAUGUGGAUGUGAAUACCACUGAUAAUUACACUUUGAGGAUGUUCUGUAUUGGGUUUGCUAAGAGACAUUUUAACCAGAUGAAAAGAACCUGCUAUGCUCAAUCAAGCCAAAUUCAUCAGAUGAACAUCACGAGAUUUCUGAGCACAAGGAAUGUGUAGCAACUGUAAUUUUCGUGUGUAGAAGUAGAACCCACUACACUAGCCACUAAUAUCGGGUUGCCAAGAAGCUCUAAAGAACAAUCGUCAUUAGGAAUGUGUGUAUAGUCACAGAUAAUUAGUCACAGAUUUGAGUUAUCUUCUGUGGUCACCACAUUUUAAAGCAACAGCUCAAAGAGAAAGCGACAACUUUAAAAGAUGAACUUGGAGACAUGAAGGCCAAACAGUAGCAACAAGAGGAAGAGAUUCAUAGAUUGUGGAAUAUGGUUUAGUUAUUAGAAGAUACUUAUGUAGGAUAUAAUAUUUUAGUUUUUCGUAGAGUAUUAAUAGUAAAUUCUAAGUGGUCUCUUGCUUAUUUUGAUAUGACUAUACUUAAUUUAGUGUGAGAUGUAUGAAUAUUCAAAAUUAACUUCAUUUCAAUACUUUUGGUUCAUUAUAAAUAUAUUUUGUUUA